GCAGCUUGACACUGAACUUUGACCUUACUUGUGUAGGAUAGGUGGGAGGCUUUGAAGCUGGAACGCUAGUUCCAGUGGAGCCGUCCUUGAAAUACCACCCUGGUAAUGUUGAGGUUCUAACUCUGUCCCGUGAUCCGGGACGAGGACCGUGUCUGGUGGGUAGUUUGACUGGGGCGGUCUCCUCCUAAAGAGUAACGGAGGAGUACGAAGGUGCGCUCAGCGUGGUCGGAAAUCACGCGUAGAGUAUAAAGGCAAAAGCGCGCUUAACUGCGAGACCCACAAGUCGAGCAGGUACGAAAGUAGGUCUUAGUGAUCCGGUGGUUCUGUAUGGAAGGGCCAUCGCUCAACGGAUAAAAGGUACUCUGGGGAUAACAGGCUGAUACCGCCCAAGAGUUCAUAUCGACGGCGGUGUUUGGCACCUCGAUGUCGGCUCAUCUCAUCCUGGGGCUGAAGCAGGUCCCAAGGGUAUGGCUGUUCGCCAUUUAAAGAGGUACGCGAGCUGGGUUUAGAACGUCGUGAGACAGUUCGGUCCCUAUCUACCGUGGGCGCUGGAAAUUUGAGAGGAUCUGCUCCUAGUACGAGAGGACCAGAGUGGACGAACCUCUGGUGUACCGGUUGUGACGCCAGUCGCAUCGCCGGGUAGCUAUGUUCGGAAGGGAUAACCGCUGAAAGCAUCUAAGCGGGAAGCCUACCUCAAGAUAAGAUUUCCCUAGGACUUUAUGUCCUCUAAAGAGCCGUUCGAGACUAGGACGUUGAUAGGUUGGAUGUGGAAGCAUAGUGAUAUGUGAAGCUGACCAAUACUAAUUGCUCGUGAGGCUUGACUAU
rnacentral:rRNA from 1 species